ensembl:snoRNA U3 Small nucleolar RNA U3
AAGGAUAUAAGUUGUUUCAAUUCAAUAGACAAACAUCUGCUAACCUUUAAAAUAUUGUCUGCAGAUACUCAGUAUAUGCCAUUUCAUGAUAAGAAAAUCUUGACCCCUUCCUGAGCGUGAAGCCGGCUCUUGGUGUUGCUUUACUGCAACUGCCACUUGCCAUUGAUGAUUGUUCUUGCUCUCUCUUCGGGGGGGAGUGAGGGGGAAGGAACGCAAUCUGAGUGGC